GACGAGGGGUCCUAGCGUUGUUCGGAAUCAUUGGGCGUAAAGCGUGUGUAGGUGGCUAUUCAAGUCAGUUGUGAAAUCCCCGGGCUUAACCCGGGAAGUGCUUCUGAUACUGUUUAGCUUGAGUACUGGAGAGGAUAGUAGAAUUCCUGGUGUAGUGGUGAAAUACGUAGAUAUCAGGAGGAAUACCGGUGGCGAAGGCGGCUAUCUGGCCAUGUACUGACGCUGAGACACGAAAGCGUGGGGAGCAAACAGG
rnacentral:rRNA from 1 species